rfam:Spirochaetes bacterium GWB1_66_5 gwb1_scaffold_20592, whole genome shotgun sequence.
AAACGGAAGGCGGUGCGAAGCCGCCGCGGACGCGCCACUGUAACCGGUGACGAACGCUUCAGCAGGCCACUGGGAAACCGGGAAGGCGGAGCGGGAGGAUGAACCGGAAGCCAGGAUACGU